GAUAAACGCUGGCGGCGCACAUAAGACAUGCAAGUCGAACGGACUUAACCAUUAGUUUACUAUUGGAGCGGUUAGUGGCGGACUGGUGAGUAACACGUGAGCAACCUACCUAUCAGAGGGGAACAACAGUUAGAAAUGACUGCUAAUACCGCAUAUGCCUUAGUAACACAUGUUACAAAAGGGAAAGAAGCAAUUCGCUGAUAGAUGGGCUUGCGUCUGAUUAGCUGGUUGGCGGGGUAACGGCCCACCAAGGCGACGAUCAGUAGCCGGACUGAGAGGUUGGCCGGCCACAUUGGGACUGAGACACGGCCCAG
rnacentral:rRNA from 1 species